rnacentral:rRNA from 1 species
UACGUAGGGUGCGAGCGUUGUCCGGAAUUAUUGGGCGUAAAGAGCUCGUAGGCGGUCUGUCGCGUCUGCUGUGAAAUCCCGAGGCUCAACCUCGAACUUGCGGUGGGUACGGGCAGACUAGAGUGUGGUAGGGGAGACUGGAAUUCCUGGUGUAGCGGUGAAAUGCGCAGAUAUCAGGAGGAACACCGAUGGCGAAGGCAGGUCUCUGGGCCACUACUGACGCUGAGAAGCGAAAGCAUGGGGAGCGAACAGG